UUGUCAAAGGACUGUUAAUAUUUUAAUCAUUUAAGCACUCCGAUCGCUACAUUUACAAAGUGCUUUGGUGAGUUGUAGUACAGACACCCGACAGGAUAAAAAGGAUUAUAAAUACAUUGAACAAUGACAUCGGCCUAAUAAUAGGAUAUUAUGGCUAAGUUUGAACGAACAAGAUGACAAAGAGCAUAUUCAUGUAUGAGAGGUGAUGAUGCUAUGAUGUUAAAGCAAAGAAAAAACACACAAGUAUUUCCUUGUGAAUGUUGAAAAGACAAAAAUAAGAAUAUGAAUAACGAUGCGAAGCUUUUCAAGUUCGGAUUUCGUUGGUAAUCAUCAUCCAACGAGCCAUAUGAAAAUGCAAUCAGACAAGAAAUAAGUUGUGGGACUCAUGGUACCGCUUUUUUACAAAGAUAUUAUUUGCUUAAAGAAAUAUGCAAAUAAACACCGGAGAAAAGGCAUACAAGUGUGCAACUUGUGGGUCUGUGUUUGCUCUAAAGGUUUCUUUACAAAGACACGUUAAAAUUCAUACUGGUGAGAAGCCCUUCAAGUGUGUUACAUGUGGUGUUGCUUUUUCUAGGAGAGAUAAGCUAACAAAUCACAUGAAACAUCACUCAGGAAAACAUGAAAAUUCUGUACCUAAUUUAUCUCGAUUGCCAAGCUGUAUGAAUUCACACAUUGGAGGGAAGCAACAUAGGUGCGAGACAUGCGAGGCUUCUUUUCUGAAUAAAUCUGAUUUACAUAAACACAUGAGAAUACACACUGAUUGCAAACCAUACAAGUGUGAUAUGUGCGGCGCUUCUUUUUAUCAUUACUAUUAUUUACACAACCAUAUUUAUAAACACAUAAUGGAAAUGCCAUACAAGUGUGCGACUUGUCUGUCUGCGUUUUCUGAAAAGGUUGCUUUACUAAGACACAUGGGAAAACAUACUGGAGAGAAGCCAUACAGGUGUGCGACUUGUGGGUCUGCGUUUGCUUUAAAGGUUACUUUACUAAGGCACGUUAAAAUUCAUACUGGCGAGAAGCCCUUUAAGUGUGUUACAUGUAGUGCUGCUUUUUCUAGGAGAGAUAAGCUAAAAAGUCACAUGAAACAUCACUCAGGAACGCAGGAAAAUUCUUUACCUAAAUUAUCUCCACCGCGAUAUACACAAAUACACACUGAAGGGAAGCCACACAUGUGCGAGACAUGUGCUGCUACUUUUACAUUGAAGUCUAAUUUACGUAAACACAUGAUGAUACACUCUGGUGAAAAGCCUUACAAGUGUGAUAUAUGUGCCGUUUGUUUUACUCGAUACAACCAGUUACAAAACCAUAUUAAUACACACAUAGGAUUGAAGCCAUACAAGUGUGAUACAUGUGGAAUAGCGUUUACUCAAAGUGGAGGUUUACAGAAGCAUUUAAGAGUACAUACUGGAGAGAAGCCCUUUAUUUGCGAGGCAUGUGGUGCUGCUUUUGCAUGGAAACAUAAGUUACAAAUUCACAUGAGAAUACACACGGGAGAAAAACCAUUCAAGUGUGCAGAGUGUGGUGCUGCAUUUUCUAGGAAAGAUAAGCUUCAAAGACACAUGAUAAGACAUACAGAAAAGAACGCAAAGGCUUUACCUCAUUCAUCGCAUUUGCCAAACAGUAUGAUUGAUAACACUAGAAGGAAGAAACAUAAGUGUGAGACAUGUGCUGCGUCCUUCAUUGAUGCGCAUAACUUACGUACACACAUGAGGAUACACACCGGAGAAAAGCCAUACAUGUGUGUUGUCUGUGGCGCUUCUUUUAAUCAAAGAGGCCAUUUAAAAGUCCACAUGAAUACUCACACUGGAGAGAAGCCAUACAAGUGUGCGACAUGUGGGGCGUCGUUUUCUACAGCAGGUGCUUUACAGAUGCACAUAACAAUACACACUGGGGAGAAGCCCUUUAAGUGCGAGGUUUGUGGUGCUGGUUUUAUAACCAGACAAAAGGUUCGAAUUCACAUGAGACGACAUACCGGGGAGAGGCCCUACCUGUGCGAAAUAUGUGGUGCGGUUUAUUCUGGCAAUGAUAAGCUUCGAAUUCACAUGAAGCGACAUACCGAAGAGAAGCCCUUCAAGAGCUGAGCAUGUGGUGCGGUGUUUUUGUAGUAAUGAUAAGCUGCAAAACCGCACGAGACGACACAGAAAUGCAAAUGGACUUGUGGCACCUAAAGAUGACAUCUCUAGACCCAUGAGAAUUCAUACUUAUGAGAAACCCUUGAUGUGUAAGGCAUAUGGUGUUGUUGUUUCUUUAGCAAGAUAAGCUCCGGUGAUUUGGUGAUAUUGUUUUCAAUUAAAUGGUAUCCUAUAUACGACAAUAAUGUGUAAGAACUGCAAACACGUUGUUUGAUUUGAAUAUAGUGCAAAGGUUUUAAUACUUUUCUCAAAAGUAUAGGCUGGAAGAAAACUUUAAAUGUACCGCCUAUUGUUCAUGUUUUAAACAUUACAUAUAUAUAUAUUGGAAAAAACACACGAUUAAAACAUAGAUUAUAAAACUAUACGGAUAUCCUAGUAAUGCUUGACAAUAAUUUUAGUUUCAUUGAACCCUAUCAAAUAAUAAGGAUAAAUGUAUUAAGACCCCGACAAGUUUUGAAACUAAAUAUAAAGUAUUUAUAACAUCCAUGUCGUAUGAAUUCGAUGACACUAAAUAUUAUCGAUUUUAUUAUAAGGCUAUGCUGUUUACAGGCAGACAUAUAAUGGAGUGAAGCCCUUCAAGUGUUAGGAAUGUGGCGUUGUUUUUGUGUUGGACAGAUAUGCUCCGAAUUCACUCAUAUGAGACGAAGUACGUUGGAAAGCAAAUGGAUAUGCGACACAUGGACAAGGGCAUUUAAAGCUGCACUCUAACAGAUAUACCUCUUUUUUUUUAAAAAAUGUGUACAUAUCUGCAAACCAAUGAUAUGAAAUUGCUGACAAAAUAUCAAAUCGUAGAUUUAAUAUUUCCGCUCGAAAUGUUAUGUUUUAUGGAUUAAACCGUUACUAACGGUUCAAGAAAAAUGCAUUAAACAUCAAUUUUUGAACUUAAAUGUAAAAAUCUGCGAUCUAUUUUAGUCAGCUGUCUUAUGUAACUGUUUUCCAUGGAUUUUUGCAAAACAAUUACUCGUUCUAAGACCAACAUUAAAAAAAUGGUAAAACGGUCAAUCUGUGAGAGUGCAGCAUUAAUGCACACUUAUGAGACGUCAGACAAGGGUGAUACAUGUGGUGCUUCUUUCUCUCAAAGCCACUUUCUACAGUCUCAUAUGAAACUUCAUACAGAAGAAAUAUAAUUGCGUUUUUGUAGUACGUGUAUUGCAGACUUGUUACAUACAUAUAGAAAAUGGACGGUUAACAAACUGUGAAACAGGUGGAACAUUGAAUGUUUCAAUUAUAUGUAGGACAUUUUAUUACAUACAUUACAGGUUAUAUGACUUCAAAGACACUUGUUUUCAUAGAAAAUGUCAUUUUAAUGACAUUCUUUUUUUAGUUUAAUGACGUCAUUCUAACAACGUUCAAUGAUACUUGUUAUGACUUGACGACUGCUGAUUGUAAUAUGGCCGUAUUGCACUGGAGUGGCAUACGGACUUCCGUCUAAAUUUGAAAAUGGUUUGCGUGUUGAUUGAUAAUUUGUAUACAAUACAAUGUUUUCAGCUACAUUCCUAGAAAUGUUUUUGGUUCCAAAACAUGAGCGAGUCCCAUGAAUGCUCUGAUUAAUGAGGGUUAAAUUAAGUAUUGAUUUAGUUCAUUUUUUGUAAUUUGAUAUGUUCGACAAGUUUAUUGCACUCUUACAUAAAACUGUUAUGCCUAGCCAUUUUGUUGCCUUUGCGAGUCGAUGUGUUGGCAUGUUUAUUACUAAUACGAUUCGAUGUGUUGGCAUGUUUAUUACUAAUACGAUUCGAUGUGUUGGCAUGCUUAUUACUAAUACGAUUCGAUGUGUUGGCAUGCUUAUUACUAAUACGAUUUGAUGUGUUUGACACGUUUAUUGUUAUUUCGAUUGGAUGUGUUUGAUAUGUUUACUGCUAUUUGCAUUCCAUGUAUUUGAUAUGUUUUUUGUUUUUACGAUUCGAUGUGUUUGGCAUGUUUAUUGCUAUUACGAUUGGAUGUGUUGGCAUGUUUAUUACUAAUACGAUUCGAUGUGUUGGCAUGCUUAUUACUAAUACGAUUUGAUGUGUUUGACAUGUUUAUUGUUAUUUCGAUUGGAUGUGUUUGAUAUGUUUACUGCUAUUUGAUUUCCAUGUGUUUGACAUGUUUAUUGCUAUUAUGAUUCGAGGUGUUUGGCAUGUUUAUUGCUAUAACGAGUCAAUGUGUUGUGCAUGUUAAUUGCUGUUACGAUUCGGUGUGUUUGGCCGGUUUACUACAAUUUGUAUUCCAAACUUCCAUCUUUAUUGCAAUGGCCAUGGCCAUGUGUUUGACAUUUUUUUUGCAAUGUCCAUGACAUGUAUUGGACAUGUUUAUUUCUCUUAUGAUUGGACCAUGUGUUUGACAUGUUUAUUACUGCCAUGUGCUUGUGGGAUUCUGCAUACUCAUUUUAUAAUUUUAUAUAUAACUAAUGAAGGAACUGCAAUUGGAAGUUAAAUUUGUUCAUGCCUGGUAAUCUCGUAUACUUUUGAUAUAUUUCAAAAGGAAAAUUUAUCCUGAUAGCAUAUAUAUCUCUAUAUGUAAAAUAAA